CAACGGCCAUUUCAUGCUGAUAGGUCCCAAGGUUUUUGCCAUCCGGCAAAAACAAAAACAGAAAACACUAGUUCUCCAAAGCUUCAAGUCUGCCCUUCCCUGUACUAGAGGACGUUCUUCAUUGGUCAAAGAGACUGGCCUAGAAGUCAGUCUUUGUAACCUUCAGCCCACAAAAUUGAAACCAAAGACUAUGGAACAUAAAGACUAAGGUCAGGUAAAUUGCUCGAGGAAAUGGGUCUCCCAACAGAUUGCCAAGAUCCUGGAUGUAUUAUAAAUUGCUUCUGCUUAGAAAAAUCUACAGAACAGUUUUGCACUGAAUUUCGCUACCACUCAGCCAUACAAGCAAAAGGCCCUGUGCCCAAGUUUGCUGAAGACAUGUCAGGCACAGCAUUCACUCUUCCUUGGAGUCAGGACACAAACCCCAUAACCUGGGACAUCGACAACCUAGGUGGCCAGGCAGAGAUGUAGCAUGUGCAUCAACACCAAGAUCUAGCCAAAGAAGGCGUUUCAAGGGAGCGCAACCAUACAGAAGGAAGCCUCUCUGCAGCAAUAAACAGUCCAUGCACUUGAUGUCAACAAAAACUUUCAUGACAGACUCACUCGCUGGUCUGAGCAUCAUGAGGAAUCUGUUGCUUACUGUGAUAGGCUGUCUCUGGCUCAUGAUGUGAUAGGUGCCGGAUUAGUCUACACAUAAAAACAGUCCUGCUGGAUCAGGUCCAUUUCACCCACAACAUGGCUACAGAAACCUACUCAGUGAACCCUGCAACCCCCAAGGUCCUCAGAACUAUUUUCCAGGCAUUUUGACUGAUGAAGGCUAAAGCCCUUCAUAGAUAAUGGACUUGUUCUCACAACCGACAGGUGGGUAGGAAGAUUGUCCAAGCUCUGCGAGCACUCCUGGGAAAUGUAGUCUCCCAGCAAAAAUCAAAGUACGGUAGGAGGAAGGAGAAGUGAAUAAUCUGCUAGUCUCUAUCAGGGUAGGAUGGUGUGGGCCAUGCUUUUCCUCCACCCUUCAUACGCUGCUGGGUAAAUAAUCUGGGUUGGCCACUGCCAUUCAACCCAAAUCAAGGCUAGCACACAAUCACUUCGCCCUCCUCCUGCUUCAGUGUUGGCUGACACACUACCAUUUCCCAGGAAUGCAUAUGGCGCUUGGAGCCUGGCUGGAUGCUCCUACCCUGAUUUUGUUCGUGAAAACCAGCCCAUUAUGUUGUAUGUGCAUAUAGAUAUCUGUACAGAUGUGCAUGUUUUUGUAGCCCUAUUCACAUGUUAUGUUCAACAUAGCUACAUUUUCGUGUUCACAGGUCACAAAUCGCAUGGCACUUGCAGCUCGCAUUGGGAGUGUGCACUUGGUGGGAACCAGUGGCUGGUGGCACCUCAUUUACCGCUACCAUUAUUUAUGAAGUCACCCAGAGUGAAAGAACCCAUAAGCCAAAGGGCUUAUCCCAAAGAGACCAUAAUGGGACUUGGGAAGACAAACACUCAAUUCACAUGAACAAGAUCAUACACAGCCUCUGACCUGGGUAUGCAUGGUUGUGUGAAUGAACAUGUAUGUGUAUACAUACAUCCAUUCACACGACCAUACAUACCUAGGUUAGAGGCUGUACCCAGGUAUAUCUGGUUGCGUGAAUGGGAUAACUGAGUGCCAAAGAGAGGCCAGGGCAAGAAUUAAAAAUAUGCUCUCCAUGGGACAAACAGUGAUCAAUAUACAACCUCCAGCAGUUUGUGGAGAUUUUCCAGUUGUGUUAAUGGCAGCACCGUAUGCAUCCUAACAAACUGAGUAUUACAUAAGACAGGAAAGCCAGUUAAACAUAAUCCUUUGAACGCCUGAACAAAGACUCGGCUUUCAUAGCUUACACACUUCCCAGCAGUCCAUGCUGAACCUCAAUAGAAGUAUCAGGUUCCACUUUUGUUCAGAAUGGUUUUCUCAUCGUAUCCACAGAGUAAUGUAAAAUCCCUUCAAACAAUGUUAACAGAAGAUGGGCUAAGAGCUAAAUGAAAAUUGAUCAUUUUCCC